UAAUGAAAGCUAAAGUGGAUCUAGCCGUGCACUUUGUCCGCUCCAGGCAGGUGGCCGUUAUGCGGUGUUGUUGUGCUUAAAUUGGCUUGGGAUCCUUACCUGCUUAACCUACUGCUGCUGAUAUUAUCUUUAACCUACUGUUAUUCCGUUCCUUCCCCCAUUUUGGUAUCAGAGCUUCAGUAUCAUUUGGUAUUAUUAUUAAAGUCCUAAAAACUUGCCUAUUAAUUUAAACUUGUCAAAAAAUUUAAAUUAAUUUUGCCUUAUUAAUUAUUUUAACAUGGAUACAAAUGCUUGUUUACAUGCUUAUAAUAAAGUAUUUCUUUAUUCUGGAGAUGUAGAACUUGCUAAAACUACAGGAAAAUUAAUGGAAGCAUAUCCUAUUACUUUACAUAUUGGAUUAGCAACUAGUCCUUAUCUACCUCAAUUGGAAAGUAUCUUUGGAAGAGUUUUAAUACAUUUAAAAUGUGGAAUAGAAUAUUUAGGUAUAAAUCGAAUAGUUGGAAAAUAUUUAGGAACCCGACCUAGACAUAUUGGAAUAACUAAUGACUAUUUUACAUAUUGUCAAAGUAUAUUUAGUUUUCU
rnacentral:lncRNA from 1 species